rnacentral:rRNA from 1 species
GACGAACGCUGGCGGCGUGCUUAACACAUGCAAGUCGAACGGUGAUGCUCCAGCUUGCUGGAGUGGAUCAGUGGCGAACGGGUGAGUAACACGUGAGCAACCUGCCCCAGACUCUGGAAUAAGCGCUGGAAACGGCGUCUAAUACUGGAUACGAAACUGGCCCGCAUGGGCAUGGUUUGGAAAGUUUUUCGGUUUGGGAUGGGCUCGCGGCCUAUCAGCUUGUUGGUGAGGUAAUGGCUCACCAAGGCGACGACGGGUAGCCGGCCUGAGAGGGCGACCGGCCACACUGGGACUGAGAAACGGCCCAGACUCCGACGGGAGGCAGCAGUGGGGAAUAUUGCACAAUGGGCGAAAGCCUGAUGCAGCGACGCCGCGUGAGGGAUGACGGCCUGCGGGUUGUAAACCUCUUUCAGCAGGGAAGAAGCGAAAGUGACGGUACCUGCAGAAGAAGCACCGGCUAACUACGUG